rnacentral:rRNA from 1 species
GAUGAACGCUGGCGGCGUGCCUAAUACAUGCGAGUCGAGCGAACAGACGAGGAGCUUGCUCCUCUGACGUUAGCGGCGGACGGGUGAGUAACACGUGGAUAGCCUACCUAUAAGACUGGGAUAACUUCGGGAAACCGGAGCUAAUACCGGAUAAUAUAUUGAACCGCAUGGUUCAAUAGUGAAAGACGGUUUUGCUGUCACUUAUAGAUGGAUCCGCGCCGCAUUAGCUAGUUGGUAAGGUAACGGCUUACCAAGGCAACGAUGCGUAGCCGACCUGAGAGGGUGAUCGGCCACACUGGAACUGAGACACGGUCCAGACUCCUACGGGAGGCAGCAGUAGGGAAUCUUCCGCAAUGGGCGAAAGCCUGACGGAGCAACGCCGCGUGAAUGAUGAAGGUCUUCGGAUCGUAAAACUCUGUUAUUAGGGAAGAACAAAUGUGUAAGUAACUAUGCACGUCUUGACGGUACCUAAUCAGAAAGCCACGGCUAACUACGUG